rnacentral:rRNA from 1 species
GGAAUUUUGGACAAUGGGGGCAACCCUGAUCCAGCCAUGCCGCGUGAGUGAAGAAGGCCUUCGGGUUGUAAAGCUCUUUCGGCCGGGAAGAAAUCGCAUGGGUUAAUACCCUGUGUGGAUGACGGUACCGGCAUAAGAAGCACCGGCUAACUACGUGCCAGCAGCCGCGGUAAUACGUAGGGUGCGAGCGUUAAUCGGAAUUACUGGGCGUAAAGCGUGCGCAGGCGGUUUGGUAAGACAGGCGUGAAAUCCCCGGGCUUAACCUGGGAACUGCGCUUGUGACUGCCUCACUAGAGUACGGCAGAGGGGGGUGGAAUUCCACGUGUAGCAGUGAAAUGCGUAGAGAUGUGGAGGAACACCGAUGGCGAAGGCAGCCCCCUGGGCCGAUACUGACGCUCAUGCACGAAAGCGUGGGUAGCAAACAGGAUUAGA